AUGACGCCGGCAAACAAAACAACAGUCAGCUCACGCAGCACAAUGCCAACGGCAACGUGGCUAACGGCACCUACAGGCCCAUCCCUCUGAACGACAGAGUAUGACCCUUCACUUCUCGUGGAUCUCAUCCUGUGCACGCUUCUUAUCCUCAGAGCCGUGAUGCCCAGCGAUCAACAUCGCAGGAUGUUGACAACAAUGUGCAAUAUAUGCCCGUCCUCACUCCAAGCCUAAAUGAUUUACUGGAAGAAAGAUUUCUUCCUGAUGGGCAUUUAGUUUCAAGUAGAAAAAAGGCAGCUCCAGAAAAUAUUACCGAUCGAACGUUAGAAGAACAGGAGGGAGAGGUAGCUUCCCUUGCGACAGACGCUCCUGUGUUCUUCAUCAAAUGGCUAGAUAGAAAUUUGGCUGUUGAAGAACAGUUCACUCCUCCACUUUUGAGGUCCAAUAACAGCAAUUGAGAAUCAAAUAAGUGGAAAUAUUGAUCAUGCUAGAACAGGGGUCUCAAACUCAUAUUAGCAUGGGGUCAGCGGCCGCGCCAUUAAAUUUCACGAUUUUUAUUAAGCCUGAUUAUUUUAAUUACGAAUUUUAAUUUUUUAAUUUUUCACGCACAGGCAGUCUAAAUUAUUAGCUUACUCUUUCAGGCACUGUUGUUCAAACUUUGUGCUCUUUACAAAAGAGAAGUGAGCCAGGUUUCCAUUUUUCAGCUGAGUGGCCCAUUAAUUCAGCUUGCAUCAGAAUGAUUUGAUGCGGUCAAACGGUAAUUAGCUGCUUUGAACCUUGUAGUUGUGAAUAUAGUGUUGAGAUGUUGUGUGAUGUCAGUAAAAAUAGCAAGAUAUGGCAAUAACAAUGGGCCUCUGAGCUGAGGUAUGUCUCUGCCUUCCUUUGCCAUGAACAAUUAUAUUUCCCGUCUCUGUUCAAAAAUCUCUGCAGCGCUUUUUUUACGACUCAACCAUCUCUCGUCCGUACGAUUUAAGAACUCCCCAUAUUCCUUUUCCCAGUGCAGUGAAAUAUGCUACAAAGUCUUUUGCAGCGGUAAUCAGUUCUUGUUGAACAUUUGUCGCUGACUUGGUGAUCCUGCUUGGCUUGCAACUGUCUUCCCAGACAAACUUAUGCCUUCGAAGAGCUUCGUUUUCUCGAGGCUGAUAAUGUCACACGCCUGUCCUUAGCAAACUGGCCUUCAGUGAAUGGUCGUGAUGCCUUUGCUACCAUCUCGUUAACAAGAAAGCUUGUCUUCAUUGGCUGUGUUGAUGCUUGAAAAAAGGUUUUUUGUUUACUUAAAAAUACUUUCAAGUGAUGGACGCUUUCCCCGCACCGUUUGGCGGACGGACAGCCCAUCAUAAUGUUCUCGAUGCAAUGUUUCGUAAUGUCUAUGUACGUUGUAUGACUUGAGAACAGACAUGCACUGCAAUCAUACAGCCUAGUUUUUUUCCUCACAUCAUUGACAAAUUUUAAAUUUUCCAAAUUCUCCUGGAACACUUUUUUUUUCAUCUGCUAUUUUUCGCUUUUGGAAAGACGAUGACAUUUUUAAGGCUACUACACUACUACAGUAAAGUUGAGUAAACAAAAAACUCUCCUCCGUAACUGGAAAACCUGAUGACAAAGCAAAAACAAGAAUAUCAUAUGUAUGUUUAAUCACCAAGCACAACAUAUAUAUUUAUACAUUUACACCCCGGCCGUGGCCGCGUGUUUGAGACCCCUGUACUAGAAUAAGAUAUUUUUCAGUGGGACCAAUCUGCUGUUUAAACGUCUUGUAGCUGCUCUUUAUUACCCUUUUGUUGUGCUGUCAGAUAAUCCUUAUGCUCGCCAUUUCACAAAAAAAAAUCAUCAAAACGACCAAUGAAGAUGUAAUCUCUUCUGGAAAGUGAUUGAAUCGGACGUUUAAUAAUUGACCAAAACCACCUGUAGCCUUAACUUACAGACAAAAUUUUCCUUCUUACGAUUACGUCUUUUACCCGAUCUCGUGUCGAAUGUUUAUGCCCUGUAGCUGUGACCAACUUGUGUUCUUCACAAUCAAAGGGAGUGAGAAUUAAAAACGAAACUUUCCGGUGCUCUCCUAAUGAACCAGUCAUGUUUGGGAGCUGUGCUCCACUGUUCAUGGUGCUUGCUGCUAGUGAGUCGUGCCCUCGGCCCGCCAGCUCUUGAUUCGGUUUGAAUGAGAAUUUGAACACCGACGUGAUUACCAAAUAAGGCUCUUUGUACUGUACGUUUUAUAUCAAGUAUAUUCAACCAUAUUUUUACAAAGUUAAAUGUAGAAAUCUUAGAGAGUAAGUUGUUUGAAUGAGUUGUGAAGUUUGAUCUUGCGCAAAACAGGGAAGGAUGGUGCAGCUUUUUUUGACAAUGCCUGUGUUUUGAGUUUAAUUUAAAAGAAGGUGCAAUUGCAGCUUAGAUUUUAAUGAGGCCAUAACCUUGUCAAUAAUGUUAUUGUUAAGCGUUUGGAUGUUAAAGGGUGUACAUUUAAAGUGCUUCUGUACAUUUUACGUAGAGUUCAAUUGCGGACCAAGUGUCAGUUUAAUCAAAACUUGUUAUUUUAGCUUUGAGAUAGUGAAAUUUUAUUAGCAGAAUUUUUAUUACUAAUUAGAAUUCCUUGUUAUCCCUCCAUAGAUGUUGUUCGUAGAUAAUAUCCCUGAGGAUUAAUCCUAAAUUGAUUAGAUUUAAGUCUGCUGAGCUAUUUCUUUGCUUGAUGUCGCUCCUUUCCCAAACCGUCCACGAGGCUGCGUACAGCUUAACGCAUUCUUCCGUUUUUAGGCACAAGAGUAAAAAAUAUAUAUUUGCUCGUUUCUUAGAGAUCUCUUCUGACUUCUAACUGAAUGUGCUUACAAUUUGAUAGUUUCUAUUUUCGAUUAUGGUUAGCGCAGAGUGUACAAAAAAAUGUAAGAAUUGCUUACGUUAUGGAAUUAUAACCGUAAAACGAGUUUCGAAACUUACUGUUCUAAUUAAUUACUGGUCGAGUAACUUGACCAGUUCCGGUUUUUUUUUGCCUGUGAGUCCAGCACAACUUUAUUUGGUCACAACCCUACAGCGUGGGUGGCGAAAAAAAAUAUUGCGCUAUGAAUCGAAGAUGGUAUGUCCUCGAUUGUGCAGAUUCGUCCGAAAUCUUGUAGCAGGUUCGGCAUAACACUCAAGAUAUGGAAUAUUUUCUUGUAUUAACUUGCGUUAACAAAUUCAAAUUCAGCAAACGCAUCACAAUUUUCUACACAUGGUGUUCUUCGUUGCAUUCGUCACGAUGUCUCAUUUCAAUGCCGGCAACAGGGUUCAAGUAUCUUAUAAGUAGAGCAUCGACAGCGAUUCUUCCGGUUGUUGUUUAUGAAUGGUUACCAUUAAAUGAAUUAAAAGAAUUCAUUAUAUUAUUAUCAAGUCUCAGAGUAUUGGAGAUGAAAUACAUGUCCUACGUCGACGACUCGUUUGUAUGUGCAUGCCUGAUGGAAUUAAUUAACACGGCUACUUCUCGACAAUUUUAUAAUACCGACCAUUCAAAAAUUAAGUUUAGCAUCGUAAUACUACGAAUAGAAGUUGCCGACACCUGUCGAGGCGAACGUCGGUAAAACCAGUUCAUAUAUUUGAAAUUCAAGAACUUGCCAGGAGUCAUGGCUACACUUGGUGUGUUUUCGUUGCUGUUCUAUCACCCAUCGCAGCAAUUUUCUACUGCGACGCUUUAAACCAACAUUGAAGCUAGAGCUCCAUAUUUAGGAUUCGUCGUCCUAUCGAACUCUGCCGCUCAGCAGACAAUUUUGACUUCGGUCUAGCCCAAUUUGAUAGGCAUGGCAGCUUGAGAGCGUGAAACUUGAGCAUUAAAUGAAGCUUUUAGGAGUGAUGUUCUCAGUUACAAAUUAACGAUGUGGUAUAAAAGAUCUAUCUUACGUUAAUUUUAAUUGUGAUACGUAAUGUAUAUGUUCAUGGCUUAAUAUAUAGAAUUUAAUGAU